rnacentral:rRNA from 1 species
UACGGAGGGGGCUAGCGUUGUUCGGAAUUACUGGGCGUAAAGCGCACGUAGGCGGCUUUGCAAGUUAGAGGUGAAAGCCCGGAGCUCAACCCCGGAAUUGCCUUUAAAACUGCAUCGCUAGAAUUGUGGAGAGGUAAGUGGAAUUCCGAGUGUAGAGGUGAAAUUCGUAGAUAUUCGGAAGAACACCAGUGGCGAAGGCGACUUACUGGACACAUAUUGACGCUGAGGUGCGAAAGCGUGGGGAGCAAACAGG